CCUCAUAGCUCAGUCGGUAAAGAAUCUGCCUGCAAUGCAGAAGACCUGGGUUCGAUCCCUGGGUCAGGA
rnacentral:tRNA from 1 species